rnacentral:lncRNA from 1 species
GGCAGCUGUUUCAUUCGGUGUUUCGGCAAUGCUUGACGGGCAUAACAUGCUUGUUGGGGGUUGUAGUUCGCUGAUUGGAAUUGUUGCUCAUUGUACGUGGUGGUGCAUGAGUCGUAUCACGAUCGUUUGGGUAGGCAGGCUCCGUGCUCGCGCAUCGAAUUGCUUCCCCGCGAUCCUUUCAGUCCUAGCCCAAGUGAAUGUUUUGUAAGUGGGCAAAUGUCAGGUUCCUGUGUUGCAUACCCACACUAGUGGAAUUCAAUAAUGUUGCUGUCCC